CUGGACACUGCAGCUCUGAGCACUGCAGUCCUGAACUCUGUAAUCCUGCGGCACAUUCCCAGAGCACAGCCAGGUGUCCAGCCCAGCUCAGCACAGCUGCCAGGUGUCUGCAGGGAAGGUUCUGCCCGUGGGGCAUCCCAGCCCAGCUGGGCAGCAGCUUCCCUUCCACUGGCACCCCCUGAACACAGCAGGUACAGUCACACCUGGGCAGGUACAGUCACACCUGAGCCAGGUACACACACCUGAGCCAGGUACAGUCACACCUGAGCUAGGUGCACUCACACCUGGGCCAGGUAUAGUCACACUUGGGACAGGUACACACACCUGAGCCAGGUACAUUCACACCUGAGACAGGUACAGUCACUCCUGGGCCAGGUGCACACACCUGAACCACGUACACACUCACAUCUGAGCCACAUACACACCUGAGCCAGGUACAGUCACACCAGAACCAGGUGCACACAUCUGAGCCAGGUACAGUCACACCUAAGCCAGGUGCACACUCACACCUGAUCCAGGUGCACUCACACGUGCUGGGACAGCCCAGACCUGACCCCAGCAGUGAAUGAUUCCCCCAGAAGUUGCUGCAGCCCCUCCCUGCUGGCCCAAAGCAAGGCAGGGCAGGGGCAGGGAGCAGCACAGGUGAGCUCUGUGCUCACCUGAGCCCUGCACCCCCCAGAGCUGCUCCAGCCCAGCUCUCCUGGGCCUGAGCUUUGGCCCAGACCUGGCUCAGGUGCCAGAGCUGUGCUUUGUUACAAAAACUACCUCUUGUUUUGCCAUUCCAUUGGUACCUCUGUGAUUUACUUAUUUAUUAAAAGAUUUAUGGGACCUGUAAAAAGGGAUGUGGAGGUAUUUUCGAUUUACUGUGUGUUUUGGUACUGUUUGUUGUUAUUUGUGGCUUUUCAGGAUGGAUUUCAGUAUAAUGCAGCAGGCUUGUCUUAAAGUGAGACUGAUCUCUGCUCAAAGGCCACACUAAUCACCCCUGUCAGCCCAGGGAUUGUGGACAUACCUCAGUCUGUAAUUGGUCAUCAAAGGAUGCAUCUAGAGGGAAAAAACCCCAAAACAUGAGCAUCAUAUUUCUAAUAAUUUGUUAUUAGCAAACCUUGCUUUGAUCAGUCUCGAUCCUGCCCCAAGGAGAACCUGUAAAAUGUUUUCUGUCAACUGCAGUGGCUGUUGUGCCAGACUUUGCUUUGCAGUAAUGAAGUUCUCUGUGUAUUUUAAGCUUUCCUCUCUAUUUUGGAUGUUUUGCAAGGUUCUGGUGCAGUAAACAAGAAAGCAGUUUGAA